UUUUUUAGUUGUUGGUUCUGUGAG
rnacentral:piRNA from 1 species